GGUAAACGCGAUGGAGGACCACCAUGGGAUUUACGCAGUCGCUCAAUGCCCUUGUGAUCUGUGCAGCGUUCAUAUUCGUUGGAGCAAUGCUCUUCAUCUGAUCAUGAAAAGCAUUGAAUAAAAUCAGAAAUUCAAUGACGGGAGCGUUUCGGCGCUCCCGUUUU
rnacentral:sRNA from 1 species